UGGCUCCUUUUGGCUGGCUGUGGUUGUUUGCAUCUAACAAGGCCAGCUCGUCACCAGGCUCUGUGCGAAUGAAAUGAAGCAAUGGGUUGAAGCAGGGCAAAGGAGGCGCCGCGUCCUGACAGGCUGAGAUAGAGAAGGUGCAUGCUGCAUGAGGAGAUGCAAGCAAUUUCCUUUCAAAUGUAUUUAGAGACAUGGCCAAGUGCUGAACAACCUGGCUGCUAGGCCCGAAGUAUAUGAGCACUUGCAUCUAGGUAUUUACCCUCUGACUGAGCAUACAAAUCAUUAACAUACAGCACUAGCAGCAAUGCUUCCAAAUGCUUUCAACCCCAGAAACUCACUAGCAUAAAGACAGGAAGCGGAAACUGUCCUAUGGUGAACAAGGCCUCCAGCACUGCCUAAGGAGUUUUCACCAGCUUUAUCUUGUUCUGCCAUGUAAGGACCUUAUUUUAUUGCUGUCUCCUGGAAGAAUAUUUCAUGGAAAUUCAGAAUGAAAGAUGAACAAGGUAGCAGUAUUAAAAUACUUUUUAUCCUGUCUACUUUUUGAUCCUGUCCAUUUUACUGUAUAUGUUUUUGAUUUUCUGAGCAUUGUUCUUGGUCAUUCAUAGUUGCUUACUGUGGGUUUUAUUAUGUUUCAGAAAAGUCUAGAACCCUAUUUGAGAUUGUAUAGAGACAGCACAACUGUAAAGAUGCACGUCCCUUGCUAUGUAGCUAAAAUGCUGCUUAGAUUGAUUAGCAAUAUCUGGAAACCAUGCUCUUAGCCAGGUCUUUACAGAAAUGAUACUCUGGUGUAGUGAUGCUGAUGUAGUAGUGGUGUGAUGAGUUUAGCUGCAGUUUAAGCUCUGGUGCUAAUGUAAAUAAGAAUGAACUUUGCUCAGCGCAGUGUAAAAUGGUAUUGCUGCUUUAUCUGAACAUCUGGGAGUUCCUUAAUCUUCUCACAGCACAAUUUCAUGUUCACAGGCUGUUAAUGAUUUACUUGCCUAGCUGGUCUGUCCUCUGCAUCUGCUUUUUGUUGUAUCACUAAAGGCUGCAGUGUUUUGCACUUAUUUCACUUUACAGUGUGGUACAUUUCUAAACUUUAAGUGAGUGUUUUUUGUAUGGUUUUGCUCCAUGUCUUUUAAAUGACUUGGUAAUGCUACUAUUCAACAUUUUUAAAAUUAAAAAUUAAUUUAAAAGCUGAGAACAAUGAUCUGUUACUCUAAUUUUCUAAGCAUAGUUACGGAUUCAGUAAAAAAGCAGUGUAGUGUUGUAGUGAAUCGGUAACCUUAGAAAUUUGUGGCAGACCAAAGAAAAUAAGAAACUAGAUCAUGAGAUACAUAAAAGUCAAUAGAAACUAGGACUGCUGCAACAACGGCUUUUUGAAGAAAUUGCCAGAGAUUUAAAGUAAUCUGUGAUUAAUUGCUGAAAUUAAAAAUCCACUACCACUUAACUUGCAGCUGUGCAACCUGAGGCUCUGGUCUAUGAAGAUCCCAAAAACAAAGCUUCUCAGAGGUAAUGAGACUUCGGGUGAAUGAUUUCAAAAGAGAAAAAAUGGCUGUUGCAGUAUUUCUUCUUUGAGGACUCUGAGGAUAGAGGAUUUCUCCAGGAAUUAUGCAAAAAGAGGUAUUAGGAAUCUUUUAUACUUUCUUUUUCACAUAGUGGUUAGUUGUGAACAGUAUGUAAGGGUUAAGAAGUAUUUCAUUUCAGCAAUUUGUAUUGCACUGAGAUAAAGAAUAAUUACAGUAUGACUAGGCAUAUUUGAACUGGCUAGAGAAUAAAACACCUUGGAUUACAUCCAGUGAGGGUGUGGUAGAGUGUACUUCAGUUAAGGCUGAGUAAUACAAUGCACUGUGUCCCCUUUAACAACACGACUACAGAACUAGUUUGAAAUUGACCAAUAGCUUGCAUUUCCAGUGUGCAUACAGCACUUUAAGGAGCACCACAAAAAUUCAAAGUUGAAAAGGGACUGUUAGAAUGCACAAGAAGAAUGGCACACCUUUGGAAGUAUUAGACUUGUAAUUUUAGUUUGUGGGGAUAAAUUAUUUUGAGGCAAAAUUCCUCCUGAGAAGUUCUCUCUCUAUCCUUUUGCCAAAUGAAAGAAGGUCAGUGAAAAUGUUGUUAUACCAAGGCAAAAAAAAGAAAAAAUUCUGCCUGGACUGCUGAUAACUGGCUUGCUGGAGUGCUUAGUCUUCCACAGUCUCUGUAAAAAUGAGGAUUUAUAAACCUGACAGCCCUGCUCACUGGAACUUCAGCCCAACACUUUGGUCAGCAUGGUCUAUAUUUCUAUUUAAAUAACCUACUGUGUAGAAAAUACAUAAGAGUUCCACUCCUCCCUCUAUUUUUCCUAUCAUCUGUCGUUAAUAUUCCACAGCUUAUUCUGACUGAACAUAGGAUGGAGUUAUUCAUACUAGUUUUUUGGAAAAUAUCAUCUUCCAGCCUAAUUUUCCUAAUCACCAACCUAUGUCAUGACACUUUAAGUAAUCUAUUGCAGAGAAACCUUGACCUUUGAGCAUGAUUUUUGACCACGCCAUUUGAAACUAAUCUUUGAAGUCCAGAGGGGCUGCAUGCUGAGAAUGGGCUUCUCAUGAACUUAAGCUGAGUUUUCCAUGUAUGCAGUUUCAAUCCAAAUUUUUUGAAAUAAAAUGAGAUUUUCUUCCACUUCUCCAGGAGUAAUUAUGACACAGGUAGAUGCCAAGAAGGAAUGAAACCUUCCAGUAUUGUGCUGAAGUGUAGUUUCUUCAGAUUUUUUUUUACAAGGAUUUUUCCUAGAAGGACGUAUUCUAGAGCAUGUCUAGAUUUUGUGUCAGAGGAAGGUCAGGGUUUUGAUUCAGAAGGGAGGCAGACAGCAUACUAACAAGUGCAGUAGCUGAGGGUUAACCAGUAAAUCAAAAAGCUCUUCGGCAGUAUCAUUGCACCCAAAGACAUUGCUUCUGAUAUUCCCAAACUGAAUUUACUUUAACAUCUACUUCCUAUCUUUUCUUCCUCAACACACCUCUAUUUUUCAAUAUGGAUUUUUUCACAUGAUAAAAAGUACUUAUUUCCAAACAUUAAACCCUUGCCUCAGAUUUAUUUAACUUUGAGGACAGAACUGUUCAUGAAAUGGUAAAUCUGUGAUUUCUCAUUGUCCAUAAUCUUCUAAUGAAUGGAAUGCCAUUCAUUCAUUGAGAGGCAAAAAUUAGCAUUUAUUUAAAUGUGCUGAAAAAUGAUAGCAUUAUAACUGCAGCGCAACUACUGAAAAGCUAAAACUUACACUUAGUUCUCCAUCUUUAUUCAAUGAAUAUGUGACCACAGGCAGUAGUAGGAGACACUAACAAAGGCAGAGGUACCUCCCUUGGUAAUUGCAGCUCCUAGCUCCACAUAGGCAGAGGUGUUACAGGAAUGGUAUCCAGCAAGCCUCAGCUCUCAGCUGAGUUAGCAUGCUGUCUCUGCUACAUGUCUGACUUAGUGUGGUGCUUUUGUUGUUUAUUUUUGAGUGAGAGAAAUGCAAGCAGAUCCCUGUAAGAAAAAAACUAGGUGUUCUGAUUUGCUUUGCUUAUCCAGUUGUUCCAAUGCUUACAUGUGGAGAGCGCACAUAAGUUCAUCUUCAGCUUCCUGCAGACAUGCUAUUUUCUUUCAGGAUAGCAAAUUGAUACUGGCAUAAAACUGUUGAGAUGGCUUUUCUCUACAGGCAAAGUGUUCAGUUUAGCAAUUAAUGGUUGUCACUGUCAGGGAGAAUUUAUGGUUUGCACUAACUUUUGAAAUAGAUUAGUCAACUUCAAGUUAUGUUUCAACAAGAGUAGGUAAUGAAGAUGGAUCCAGCAUUACCACUUUGGUAUGGAACAAAUAGAUGGUAAUGAUAAUGAAUGCCUCUGGAGCAGUACUGAUCAUGGAGGGACAGGGAACAAGAUGCUGCAUCAGCAAAGAAUUAGAAGUUCUGGUCUUGCCUACACCAGAUUAAAGCUUUUUUUGUUUUGUAUGUCCAGGCUCAUUACAUUCUCCUUGAAAAUGUGAGUAAGAACACAUAUUUCUUCUAAGCAUAUUUUUGCUUUUUCAGUAUAGGUAAAGGAAAAAUGCAAUGAAUUGUUUUUAGUUUUGUUUGUGGGUUUUGGUAUUUUUUUGUUUGGCUUUUUUUUUAGCUUGGAGAAUUUUAUUGAUUGUUAUGUAAAUAGUUUCUAAUGAACACCUGGAGAAUGAAGGAUGGAAAAACACAUGUUGGAAGUGAAAUUAGGGGGAAAACAAAAA